rnacentral:rRNA from 1 species
UACGUAGGUGGCAAGCGUUGUCCGGAAUUAUUGGGCGUAAAGCGCGCGCAGGUGGUUCCUUAAGUCUGAUGUGAAAGCCCACGGCUCAACCGUGGAGGGUCAUUGGAAACUGGGGAACUUGAGUGCAGAAGAGGAAAGUGGAAUUCCAAGUGUAGCGGUGAAAUGCGUAGAGAUUUGGAGGAACACCAGUGGCGAAGGCGACUUUCUGGUCUGUAACUGACACUGAGGCGCGAAAGCGUGGGGAGCAAACAGGA